rnacentral:misc_RNA from 1 species
AGCUAAAGAAGAACGAUGAAUGCUUCUUCUUCUUCUCAUAUUCUGUGCUAUAGCUGCCAUGCGUCUUCUUCUCAUUAGCGAAUCAUAUAAAAGCUCUAACAAUCUUCAACAACCAUUCUAACAAUCCCAACGGCUUCUUCCCCUUCACCAUUACACAUUGUUUCACUUACUCCAGUACUCACCAUUUUAUUAGCAGCAUAUUCUUGUAUCAGAAUUUCAAAUUGGCAGUUCAGCAAGUCAUUAUUUGUCACCCUCUCCGGUUCAAUAAAGGUUUCAUUGAAACCCAGCAUUAAUAUUUUAUUUUCAAAGAUCUGUCUCCUUUCAAUAUGAUCAAUGUAAAAAUGGAGUGGAGUGGAGAAUGGAGGAAGAGGAGAUAGAAAAACUAGAGCGACUGACUACAUAUCUCUUUUGCUUUGUUCCAUGUCAACUUUCAUAGAAUAUGGUAUACUUGGCAGAUAUAUGCCAUAUAUCAUGUAAAGUUAUGCCAAUUCUUGUAGUAAUCUUUUACUCAUUUCUCUAGGUGCAAUACCAGGAGAAUGGUUAACUUACCCUUACCUUGGUAUGCUGUUGUGUGGGAUAUUGAUAACCUUAUUGGAUAUGGGUUCUUCCUUGGUGAUACUUGCAAUGGGCUUAGUUACCAAGCUAUUUUUGCUAUUGAUCAUUUUUUGGUAGCUGAAAUGAGCAGAAAAUAGAAUACAAUUUGUGUUAAUCUUCUUCUUCUCCUUCUUCUCUCUCCUUUUGUCAUUCUAUCUUUUAUUCUUUCCUCUUUUUUCCCCCUUUUCUUUUGGGGAUAGAUAAGCUUUUAGGAGUUGCUUUGAUAGACAGUGGUUCACCGAGUGUUCUGAAUAUCUAUACAAGAUGAGCCCCUAUUAUUUAAAAAUGUUAGUUUCUUGAUUUUUGGGGAUGAUUUGUUUUCCUGAGUGCUCCUUAAAGGCGGUGCUUUACUGAAGACUUAAUAUUUAGAUUUUAUAGGCUGGGGUGGCAAAGGGUUUUAGUUGCAGCAUUUAAUUCAAAUUAUGUUGUCUAGACAGGUUGCAAAUGCUGAGGGCAUCCUUUUAUUUUUCUACUUUAUUAUUGUUAUCUUAUUUUAGCGCUUGAUGGACCUUAUGAAAUAUCAAUUUAAUUAUUCAUUUUGCAGGACUUGCAUUUAAAAUCAUUG